AUUGAACGCUGGCGGCAGGCCUAACACAUGCAAGUCGAACGAGUGGCGGACGGGUGAGUAAUGUAUGGGAAACUGCCUGAUGGAGGGGGAUAACUACUGGAAACGGUAGCUAAUACCGCAUACUAUCAGAUGAACCCAGAUGGGAUUAGCUUGUUGGUGGGGUAAAGGCUCACCUAGGCGACGAUCCCUAGCUGGUCUGAGAGGAUGACCAGCCACACUGGGACUGAGACACGGCCCAGACUCCUACGGGAGGCAGCAGUGGGGAAUAUUGCACAAUGGGCGCAAGCCUGAUGCAGCCAUGCCGCGUGUAUGAAGAAGGCCUUCGGGUUGUAAAGUACUUUCAGCGGGGAGGCGUUACCCGCAGAAGAAGCACCGGCUAACUCCGUGCCAGCAGCCGCGGUAAUUC
rnacentral:rRNA from 1 species